GAGUGGCAAACGGCUGAGUAACGCGUAUGAACCUACCCCAAACUCGAGUAUAGCCCCNUGGAGUGGGGGGUAAUCCUCGAUAGUCCGUGAAGUAUUUACUUCACGGUAAAGCUUUUGCGGUUUGGGAUGGGCCUGCGUCCUAUCAUGUAGUUGGUGAGGUAAGUGCUCACCAAGCCUAUGACGGGUAGCUGGUCUGAGAGGAUGGUCAGCCAGACUGGGACUGCGACACGGCCCAGACUCCUACGGGAGGUGGGAACUAUGAAUUGUGCGCAAUGGACGAAAGUCUGACGCCGCGACAUCGCGUGGAGGAUGAAUGUCUUCGGAUUGUAAACUCCUUUUCUUACCGAACAAGUUCUGAGUGUAUGUAAUGAAUAAGUGCCUGCUAACCACGUGCCAGAAGCAUCGGUAAUACGUGGGGCACGAGCGUUAUCCGGAUUUACUGGGCGUAAAGAGAAGCGUAGGCGGCUCGAUAAGUUUGGUGUUAAAUCUUCCGGCUCAACCGGAAACAAGCACCGAAAACUAUCGAGAUUGAGUCCAGUAUGGAAGAGGGGAAUU
rnacentral:rRNA from 1 species